rnacentral:rRNA from 1 species
CAGUCGCCGCGGUAAUACGGAGGGUGCAAGCGUUAAUCGGAAUUACUGGGCGUAAAGCGCACGCAGGCGGUCUGUCAAGUCAGAUGUGAAAUCCCCGGGCUUAACCUGGGAACUGCAUUUGAAACUGGCAGGCUAGAGUCUUGUAGAGGGGGGUAGAAUUCCAGGUGUAGCGGUGAAAUGCGUAGAGAUCUGGAGGAAUACCGGUGGCGAAGGCGGCCCCCUGGACAAAGACUGACGCUCAGGUGCGAAAGCGUGGGGAGCAAACAGGAUUAGAGACCCGAGUAGUCCCUGUCUCUUAUAC